CAGGCACCGAAGAAGGAGAAGGCCCCAGCGGCGUCGUCGAAGCCGGCCAAGUCGGGCGGCGGGAAGCAGAAGAAGAAGAAGUGGAGCAAGGGCAAGCAAAAGGAGAAGGUGAACAACGCGGUGCUCUUCGACCAGGUCACCUACGACAAGCUACUCAUCGAGGUGCCCAAGUACAAGAAGAUCACGCCCUCCGUCCUCUCCGAGCGCCUCAGGGUAACGCACCCGCAUCCUCCCUCCCUCCUCCGGAUCUGUUCUUCUUGCUUACUUACCUUCGUCAGAAUUGAGAUCUCGGGAUGGUAG
rnacentral:rRNA from 1 species